rnacentral:rRNA from 1 species
UUGGAUCCGCCAGUUUGGUUCCUCAAAAUGAUCGAUAGGCUGAGACGAGGCUUCCUUUGGGCGGCAGACGAGUCCUCGCUGGGCGGCAAGUGCCUCGUGAGCUGGAAGCAGGUUUGCAGGCCGCGCGAGUUUGGUGGCCUUGGGGUGCACGAUCUGCAGCGCCAAGGGGCCGCACUCCGCGCUCGCUGGUACUGGAACAGUUGGAUCGAUGACUCCAGGCCUUGGCGCGAGUUGGUGCUACCCCAUGACCCAGCGGCUGAGGGUAUUUUCAGAGCAUCCAUGGAGAUAGUCAUCGGCGACGGAAGGAAAACGAGCUUCUGGCGCUCGCACUGG